rnacentral:rRNA from 1 species
UACGGGGGGGGCAAGCGUUGUUCGGAAUUACUGGGCGUAAAGGGCUCGUAGGUGGCCAACUAAGUCAGACGUGAAAUCCCUCGGCUUAACCGGGGAACUGCGUCUGAUACUGGAUGGCUUGGGUUCGGGAGAGGGAUGCGGAAUUCCUGGUGUAGCGGUGGAAUGCGCAGAUAUCAGGAGGAACACCGGUGGCGAAGGCGGGUCUCUGGGCAGUAACUGACGCUGAGGAGCGAAAGCGUGGGGAGCGAACAGG